AGUUCGAUCAUGGCCUGUGGGGAUUGAACGCUGGCGGGAUGCUUACACAUGCAAGUCGAACGGCAGCACGGACUUCGGUCUGUGGCGAGUGGCGAAUCGGGUGAGUAAUGUAUCGGAACGUGCCUAGUAGAAGGACACGCGAAAGCGUAGCUAAUACCGCAUACGCUCUGGGAAAGCGGGGACCUUCGGGCCUCGCACUAUUAGAGCGGCUGAUAGCCGGAUUACGAGAAGCUGCGGGUAACGGCUCACUGGCCAGACGGAUCCGUAGCUGGUUUGAGAGGACGACCAGCCACACCGGGACUGGAGACACGGCCCACCAGAUCCCGGAGGCAGGGGAAUUUUGGACAAUGGGGGAAACCUCCUGAUCCAGCCAUCCCGCGUACAUGAAGGCCGGGUUGUAAAGCACUUUCGGCAGGAAAAGAAACGGUACGGAUAAUACCCCGUGCAACUGGACGAGGUACCUGCAGAAUAAGCACUGGCUAACUACGUGCCAGCAGCCGCGUAAUACGUAGGUGCAAGCGUUAUCUGGAAUUGGCCAUGCAAAGCGUGCGCAGGCGGUCUGGAAAGAAAGAUGAAAUCCAGAGCUUAAUCUGGUCCGCAUUUUUAACUACCGAGCUAGGGUGUGUCAGAGGGAGGUGAAUUCGCGUAGCAGUGAAAUGCGUAGAUAUGCGAGGAACACCGAUGGCGAAGGAGGAUUUCCUGGGAUAACACUGCUCAUGCACGAAAGCGUAAGAGCAAAUGAGAUUGAUACUCCUGCAAGUCCACGCCUCUAAACGAUGUCAACUAGCUGUUGGGGCCUUCGGGCCUUUUGUAGCAGCUAACGCGUAGUUGACCGCCUGGGGAGUACGGUCGCAAGAUUAAAACUCAAAGGAAUUGGAUGUGGACCCGAAAUGCUGAAAGAUGAUGUGGAUUAAUCUGAUGCAAAUGCGAAAACUUUACCUGCCCUUGACAUGUCUGGAAUCCCGAAGAGAUUUGGGAGUGCUCGCAAGAGAACCGAAACAGGUGUUGCAUGGCUUGUCGUCAGCUCGUGUCGUGAGAUGCUGGGUUAAGUCCCGCAACGAGCGCGCAACCGUCAUUAGUUGCUACGAAAGGGCACUUCCAUCGAGAUCGUUGGUGACAAACUGGAGGAAGGUGGGGAUGACGUCAAGUCCUCAUGGCCCUUAUGGGUAGGGCUUCACACGUCAUACAAUGGUCGGGACAGAGGGUCGCCAACCCGGCAGGGGGAGCCAAUCCCAGAACCGACGGGGAACCGGAUCGUGAACAAAACUUCGACUGCGUGAAGUCGGAAUCGCUAGUAAUCGCGACUGCGCCACGUCGCGUGAAUACGUUCCCGGGUCUGCACACACCGCCCGUCACACCAUGGGAGUGGGUUUUACCAGAAGUAGUUAGGCCUAACCGUAAGGAGGGCGUUGAUUACUAAUGGUGAUUCAUGACUGGGGUGAAGUCGUAACAAGGUAG
rnacentral:rRNA from 1 species